CCGUGCCAGCAGCCGCGGUAAUACGGAGGGUGCGAGCGUUAAUCGGAAUUACUGGGCGUAAAGCGCAUGCAGGCGGCCUGUUAAGUCAGAUGUGAAAGACCCGGGGCGUUAACCUCGGAAAUUGCAUUUGUAAACUGGCAGGCUAGAGUCUUGUAGAGGGGGGUAGGAAGUUUCUAGGUGUAGCGGUGAAAUAGCGUAGAGAUCUCGAAGGAAUACCAGUGGCGAAGGCGGCCCCCUCGGACAAAGACUGACGCUCAGAUGCGAAAGCGUGGGGAGCAAACAGGAUUAGAUACCCUGGUAG
rnacentral:rRNA from 1 species